UGCAGCCAUCACGUUCAUAAAAUUUGUCA
rnacentral:sRNA from 1 species